rnacentral:rRNA from 1 species
GACGAACGCUGGCGGCGUGCUUAACACAUGCAAGUCGAACGGAAAGGCCCUGCUUUUGUGGGGUGCUCGAGUGGCGAACGGGUGAGUAACACGUGAGUAACCUGCCCUUGACUUUGGGAUAACUUCAGGAAACUGGGGCUAAUACCGGAUAGGAGCUCCUGCUGCAUGGUGGGGGUUGGAAAGUUUCGGCGGUUGGGGAUGGACUCGCGGCUUAUCAGCUUGUUGGUGGGGUAGUGGCUUACCAAGGCUUUGACGGGUAGCCGGCCUGAGAGGGUGACCGGCACAAUUGGGACUGGGGUACGGCCCAGCCUCCUAGGGGGGGCAGAGGUGGGGAAAAUUGCCCAAUGGGCGGAAGCCUGAUGAAGAAACGCCGCGGGCGGGAUGACGGCCUUCGGGUUGUAACCCGCUUUCGCCUGUGCCGAAGCGUGAGUGACGGUAAUGGGUAAAGAAGAACCGGCUAACUACGUG